UGUGUUUAAUGGUUGUGAAUUGUGUUUAACAAAAGCGCGAGAGAGAACAAGAACGCGUCCGCCGUUUGCGAUGGCAAAAUAUGAACUGUUUACGUAUACUUUGUAUAAUACGAGAAAGGCAAAAAAGAAAAACUAUUUUUCUAUUCCAAUUAAACUUGUUUCCGAUUUCAAUUGCAGGGACCCAUAUUACGGCCGCAUUUGCUCCCGUCAUCACUAUUAAGGUCACAACUUUCGCCUUUGGAUUGGCUUUUGUUGGAAUCUAUCUCUAUCUGAACCGAAUCGUUCCCGGACUAGGGGAAGGGCUGGCCGAUCCAGCACCUUAUGCCGCUCCUAAUACUAAGCAGCCAGCAGAGGCGUCAUGAUAGUGGAAUCGUUUCCUUUGUUUACAGGAUUAUUUGUACUCAUCCAUGGCGUAGUAAUGAUUGAAGGAAUGGAAAAAGAAUCGAAAGCAAUCUCGCGAUAUUCACUAACUGCAACAUCGAUCCUUUCAACUUUGUCGGGUUUCCAGCUACUACAACUGAAGAUAGCAAUAGUGAGUUUAAUCCUUGCUGGAGUGUAUGUAUUCUGGUACAAACUUUUUCCAGAGGAGUUGAUCAGAAUGGAGGACCCUAACUACGAUUACAACAAUUCCACAUUUCAAGGACUUCUCUGAAAUAAACCACAUUAAGAAUUUUCUCGA